rnacentral:rRNA from 1 species
UACGUAGGGGGCUAGCGUUGUCCGGAAUCAUUGGGCGUAAAGAGCGCGUAGGCGGCUAGAUAAGUCCGGUGUGAAAGUCACAGGCUCAACCUGUGAAUGCCGCUGGAAAACUGUCUGGCUAGAGUCCGGAAGGGGCGAGUGGAAAUUCCUGGUGUAGCGGUGGAAUGCGCAGAUAUCAGGAGGAACACCAAUAGCGAAGGCAGCUCGCUGGGACGGUAUUGACGCUGAGGCGCGGAAAGCGUGGGGAGCAAACAGG